rnacentral:tRNA from 1 species
UCCACAGUUAGCUCAGUGGUAGAGCUAUCGGCUGUUAACCGAUCGGUCGUAGGUUCGAGUCCUACCUGUGGAG